rnacentral:rRNA from 1 species
UACGAAGGGUGCAAACGUUGCUCGGAAUCAUUGGGCGUAAAGCGCACGUAGGCGCCUUGCAAGUCGGAUGUGAAAUCCCACCGGCUCAACCGUGGACGUGCAUCCGAAACUGCUCGGCUCGAGUAUGGAAGAGGGUCGCGGAAUUCCCGGUGUAGAGGUGAAAUUCGUAGAUAUCGGGAGGAACACCAGUGGCGAAGGCGGCGACCUGGGCCAAUACUGACGCUGAGGUGCGAAAGCGUGGGGGAGCAAACAGGG